ACCCUCUCAAAGUCACCCACGGCCUUGCCCUUGGCCACGGGUGAGACUCGGUGUCCAGAGCACAGGGGCUUCAGCUCACCGCCCACUUGCGGUGUGGGGAGGUGAAACCCAGGCCCCGACAGCG